GCACCCAAACGGCUCUGUGAGCUGAGCUGCAUUUUUGGUGUUUUGUUUUACAGGUGUACCAAGUGCACUGAAUUUUACAAAACCAUGACCUGAGCCCUCUGCAUAGUACUUAUUAAUAGCAGUCUCAGCCUCGGGCGCUGUGUGCUGCAUACUAACAAGUUGUUUUCAUCCUUCCAGGCCAUGGGAACUGCCUCCACGCACGCCGGCAUCCUCAUCCACUCCUCGUGUGGUAUUUGGAGCCUGCACACAGCAACUUGGCGUGACAUGCUGCCUGCCAGAGCUUGAGGCUUGGGGCAGCCCACGGGGGACCUGCAGAGGUUUCGGUGUAGAUAUUCAGAAUACAGAAGACCUGAUUCCUGCCUACUCCUGUCCAAGAUUAUACAAUAGAAAUAAUUAAUCUGAUGAGAACUGGUUCAAGCAUGCAUGUAGCUAAAUGAUAAACCAGGCCGAGGAAAUGAUCCAUCUGAAAAGUGACUCAGAAAAACGGCAACAACAUCAACAAAACUAUCAAAGGUUACAAUGAGGAGGAUGCCUACUUCUGCCAGUAGAGAAACUCUGAAGUUAGAAGAAAACCAGUUUAGUGCUGAGAAAGCAUAUGAAAUGAAACCACAGAUCUUUGGAUUUUUCUCUUCGAGGAAAAAAAAUCUUCCAUCAUGACUAAUGUUACUUACCGUCUUCCAGAGCUAGAGGUCUAUCUUUAAAUCCUCAUGCAUGCAGACUCUCCCACAUGAAGCUCAGAUAAACCAACAAUGCUAGAGAAUCUUUUUUUUCAAAAAAGAUCCUAUUCUUUAUCAUCUCUUCAUCACCCUGCUGACUCAUUAAAGCAGAAAAGGUCACACUAUGAAUUUGACUCUGAAUAUAACAAUAGUUUUUGGAGACUUCCAAUCUUUUUUCCAGUAAGAUUCAGAUUUUGCAGCUUGACUGUGAAGGAGAGCUCUACCACUGACUUUCAAAGGUAUACCUCCACGUGGGAGAGGAGGACCAGUCAGAUCUCAGCUUUCAGUUGGCAUUUUCUACCUGAUUAUUGUACUUCCUUCCUUCAACAUAGCAUUGGCCUAGACACCACAUUCAAGGCAAAUAUAAAAUUAUAGCAAAUGAAAACUUCAGUUACUAUACUUGGAUCCAUCCUCACAUGA